GCUCUGCGGAAACGGGCCAGCGGAGGGCGCACGGCGCCGCGGAGGUCUCGGCCGGGCAGGCUCAGGCGCGGCAGGGUCGCAUGGCCUGUCCCGCCCGGGAGGGGCACGUUCUGAUAGGCCGGUGACCAGAGGGACACCGACUGCCGGUAGGAGCGGAGUCUGCAGACAAGCAAGUCUGCAAGGCGGUGAGAAAGGGGAGCCGCGAAGUUCUAUCGAGAUUCUGGCAGAGGCAACUCGACUGCACAGUGCCUUGAUCUCCUGGGGAUGCACAAGGUCGCAGGAGGCCUCUGUGGCCAAAGGCUGCCAGGUCUGGUCACCAGUCACAGGCAGGCCACACGAAGUCACAGGCAGUGCCGUGGUGUCCCGGGAGGACACCGUGGUCUUCAUACACGCCCGUGUGUGGCAGUGAGGCCUCACUCCCUCCGUCAGCAGUGCAAGGCCAUGCAGGCGUCCAGCCUCCGAUGGUCACUCUGCUGGGCUAAGGUGCUGGACACCCUCUAUGUCAGUGCCUGGAGGGAAAGGCGGGGGCCAGCUGCCCCCCCCCCCCCGCGCCCAGGAUAUGGGACCCGCGGAGGUCCGGAGUUUAGGGUCACCUCCUCCAAAGCUCUUGCUCGUUCUCAAACACACCAGGCCCGCGGAGCCUCAGCACCGAGGACAGCGCUCAGGCAGCCCAGCCCACUGUAGUACAGCGUCCUAGGCCAGGCCGGGGCUAAGACCAGAACCCAGGAAGAAGAGGUGAGCAACCAGAGAGCGGAGAUCAAGAAGCACAGGCUGGAUGGGGAGACUGCCUGUCCCAUGUCCCUGGGCCCAGAACUCGGCAGCUGGGAUGUGUCCGUGUCUGUGGCAGUCCAGCUGUACCAUGAGCAGCUGCACGCGCGUCCUGGCCUGUCUGCGGACCUGAUCCGGCAGCCAGUCCCAGGCCCUGUCCACCUCCACACCACCUCUCUGCUGCAGGAGCAUUCUGGGUCCCUGUGCGGCUCCUGGCAGCCUCCUCUCCACAGUGACAUCACGGGACACUUUUAGCCUGGCCUCCUGCAGGAUGUCGCAUCCGGUUACUUUUCCUAUGGAUGUCUCUGCUACUUGUGAAUAUUCAAAUUCAAAAACUUGGGCUGUAGUUGUGACUCAUUACCGCUUGCUUCACUGUUUUUUGUUUUUCUCUGAACGUGGCUUGGCUUUUCCUUAGUUAUAGGGACAGGAUGGUCCUGGGCCUGCCUGUUGGAUCAUGGCCAGUUUUCUUUCUUCUCCGGGCCUGUCCCCUGUGCUGGGUAGGGGGACUUGCUGUUUCUGUCCUGUCCCCAAAGUCUUCUUCCCCUUUGGGUUUCCAUCCAUGGACCAUUUGUGGACAUGGGCAGCUGUGACUUGGAGGCCUCCAGCCUUACUGGAUGUGGCAGCCAUGCGGCCCAGGAAGAAACCGAGGCUCAGAGAUGCCCAGGCCAGGCUGGGGGCCCUGGGACUUUCCUCUUAGGAAGGUCGGCUACAGUAGUGGCCAGCUCUGUUUACCCCUGUCUCGACUCACUCCAGUAUCUCUUAGAGGGACAGCAGGCAGGCAGCAGUUUUUAAGUUCUGGCACAGAGUCCGGCCCAGAGAAUGCAGAGACCAUGAUGCCAUUCGACAGGAGACAACUUCAGGGCGAACACCGGCCUUAGGCCACACAGCAGUUUUGGCUUCUUCACUCCCAUUCGUUCGUUCACUCUGUGUCCAGCGCCCCCUGCAACCAGGGAGGCUGGGGAGACUAAUCGGAAGCAGCAGUAACAGCAGUCUCGCGCGGUGAGCCUGGUAACAGAUGGAUGACCCUAGCCUAAGGCUAAGAAGCCCUCCUAAGACAGAAGAUAUUCAAUCUGGGCCUUAAAUCUUGGGGUAAGAAUUUUCCAGGCAUCGAAGUAGGGCAAAGAUACCUGGCUUUGUUUCUGUCGUGCCACGCAGCCAUCAGCAAGCCUCUGCCCUUUCUGUGGUCAUGGGUACAAGUGAUGCCAACCUGGAGGCUUCUGGGUACGAAGACCAACUAGCCAUGACUCUACUGUCUUUUAAUCAUCACAGUUCAGUGACCACCCUCUACAUCUGUAAAGCCCGGCGUCCACUCUGGGUCCAGUCUAUGCCCCAACAUUUUCAACACUUUUACAUUGACAGUUUCUCACAUUAUCCGGAGAGCUGAGGUAAAAACUUGAAAUCCAGCAAAGAAUCCACUCAAGUAACUGCCCCAUCUGGAAGAAAGGCUUUGAAGAAAGAGUGAAAUGGUCGGAGAGCUGCAAACAAUGGUCAGCUUAUGUCCUUUAUCUAACAGUUGUGCCCCUGAUAACAAAAUUGCUCAGUGUAGAAAUUUUUGAAAAUAAGAAAAGUACGGAUUUAAAUCACUUGUAUCUCACCCCCAAAGAUAAGAAUCAAUGCAUUUUUAAAUAUUGGACAAAGUCAAAGACCACCAUGGGCCAAAGAACAAAUAAACUCCUUAACCUGU